rnacentral:piRNA from 1 species
UCUGAUUUGGUUGACUCUGUUAUGG